GGGUAGUUUGACUGGGGCGGUCUCCUCCCAAAGCGUAACGGAGGAGCACGAAGGUUAGCUAAUCCUGGUCGGACAUCAGGAGGUUAGUGCAAUGGCAUAAGCUAGCUUGACUGCGAGCGUGACGGCGCGAGCAGGUGCGAAAGCAGGUCAUAGUGAUCCGGUGGUUCUGAAUGGAAGGGCCAUCGCUCAACGGAUAAAAGGUACUCCGGGGAUAACAGGCUGAUACCGCCCAAGAGUUCAUAUCGACGGCGGUGUUUGGCACCUCGAUGUCGGCUCAUCACAUCCUGGGGCUGAAGUAGGUCCCAAGGGUAUGGCUGUUCGCCAUUUAAAGUGGUACGCGAGCUGGGUUUAGAACGUCGUGAGACAGUUCGGUCCCUAUCUGCCGUGGGCGCUGGAGAAUUGAGGGGGGCUGCUCCUAGUACGAGAGGACCGGAGUGGACGCAUCACUGGUGUUCG
rnacentral:rRNA from 1 species